ensembl:lncRNA
AGUAUCAACGCAAUAGUUACUUACACCAACGUUAUAGCCAUACUGCCAGAUGAAAGGAAAUAUACUUUGAAUUCGACACCAGGGAUAAUGUAACUUAGGCCUUUUGUACGCUAUUUAGACACAAAACCGUUCACUCAAUGAAUUAUGUUUAUAUUUUACGAAACACUCAGGAUACAUUGAUAAACAUUUGAGAGCUCAAGCAGGACAUUGAUACUCACCUGUAGUAAUGACGGCAACAUAUGGCGUAGCAACGUCACCAUCACCUUGGCUACAGGAUCCUGUCUUGGUGAAGGCCGGGUAGAGUUCGGGGGGAGAGAGGCAGGCCGUGUCAGGCAUCCCACAUCCUGAGUAGGCCUACUGUAUGCACUCACAGAUCAGGUUCCACAUGCAAGUGCUAGGUUUCUCGAUUCAGCUGUUACUCAUACCAUCCAGUUGCCAAGAAUGUGAACUUCAUAAGAAGAAACAGGUUCCAGUCACUGUCCAGGGAUCAGAGUCAAACGCUCCAAGAUCGGUGCAGUCAUGGACACUUCUGGCAGCAAGUUACAGCAGAAGGCUCUGCAGCAACCUAAGCAGAAGAAAUCCAAGUCGGCUGAAUUUCUGAUGGGUGAGCCCUGCUUGAUGAGUUAUUGCUCAUAAUUUGUGUAAGGAUUAAUUAACU